rnacentral:rRNA from 1 species
GACAGAGGGUGCAAACGUUGUUCGGAAUUACUGGGCGUAAAGCGCGUGUAGGCGGUUAAGUAAGUCGGGCGUGAAAUCCCACGGCUCAACCGUGGAAGUGCACUCGAAACUGCAUAGCUAGAGUCCUGGAGAGGAAGGUGGAAUGCUUGGUGUAGAGGUGAAAUUCGUAGAUAUCAAGCGGAACACCGGUGGCGAAGGCGGCCUUCUGGACAGUGACUGACGCUGAGACGCGAAAGCGUGGGGAGCAAACAGG